rnacentral:rRNA from 1 species
UACGAAGGGGACUAGCGUUGUUCGGAAUCACUGGGCGUAAAGCGCACGUAGGCGGAUGUGUCAGUCAGGGGUGAAAUCCCGGGGCUCAACCUCGGAACUGCCUUUGAUACAGCACGUCUCGAGUCCGGAAGAGGUGGGUGGAAUUCCUAGUGUAGAGGUGAAAUUCGUAGAUAUUAGGAAGAACACCGGUGGCGAAGGCGGCCCACUGGUCCGGUACUGACGCUGAGGUGCGAAAGCGUGGGGAGCAAACAGGAUUAG